AUUCCAGCUCCAAUAGCGUAUAUUAAAGUUGUUGCAGUUAAAAAGCUCGUAGUUGGAUCUCAGGGUGAGCUCAGUUGGUCGGCCUAAUUGGUCAGAACUGGCUGACUCUCCCUUGUUUCUGAAUCCCGGUCGGAGUUAAUUCUUCGUUCGUGGACUUCAGAUCGUUUACCUUGAAAAAAUUAGAGUGUUCAAAGCGGGCGUUUGCUUGAAUACAUUAGCAUGGAAUAAUGGAAUAGGACCCUGGUUCUAUUUUGUUGGUUUUGAGGACCAGAGUAAUGAUUAAUAGGGAUAGUUGGGGGCAUUCAUGUUUAAUUGUCAGAGGUGAAAUUCUUGGAUUUAUGAAAGAUGAACUUCUGCGAAAGCAUUUGCCAAGGAUGUUUUCAUCG
rnacentral:rRNA from 1 species